rnacentral:rRNA from 1 species
CCUACGGGAGGCAGCAGUGGGGAAUAUUGGACAAUGGGGGGAACCCUGAUCCAGCCAUGCCGCGUGUGUGAAGAAGGCCCUCGGGUUGUAAAGCACUUUCAGUGAGGAAGAACGCCUGGUGGUUAAUACCCAUCAGGAAAGACAUCACUCACAGAAGAAGCACCGGCUAACUCCGUGCCAGCAGCCGCGGUAAUACGGAGGGUGCGAGCGUUAAUCGGAAUUACUGGGCGUAAAGCGCGCGUAGGUGGCUUGAUAAGCCGGUUGUGAAAGCCCCGGGCUCAACCUGGGAACGGCAUCCGGAACUGUCAAGCUAGAGUGCAGGAGAGGAAGGUAGAAUUUCCGGUGUAGCGGUGAAAUGCGUAGAGAUCGGGAGGAAUACCAGUGGCGAAGGCGGCCUUCUGGACUGACACUGACACUGAGGUGCGAAAGCGUGGGUAGCAAACAGGAUUAGAUACCCGUGUAGUC